GACGAACGCUGGCGGCGUGCUUAACACAUGCAAGUCGAACGGAAAGGCCCCUUUGGGGGUACUCGAGUGGCGAACGGGUGAGUAACACGUGAGUAACCUGCCCUUGACUUCGGGAUAACUUCAGGAAACUGGGGCUAAUACCGGAUAGGAAUCCUUGCUGCAUGGUGGGGGUUGGAAAGCUUCGGCGGUUUUGGAUGGACUCGCGGCUUAUCAGCUUGUUGGUGGGGUAGUGGCUUACCAAGGCUUUGACGGGUAGCCGGCCUGGGAGGGCGACCGGCCACAUUGGGACUGAGAUACGGCCCAGACUCCUACGGGAGGCAGCAGUGGGGAAUAUUGCACAAGGGGCGGAAGCCUGAUGCAGCAACGCCGCGGGCGGGAGGACGGCCUUCGGGUUGUAAACCGCUUUCAGCAGGGGCGAAGCUUGUGGUGACGGUACCUGCAGAAGAAGCACCGGCUAACUACGUG
rnacentral:rRNA from 1 species